rnacentral:lncRNA from 10 species
ACUAUUUGGAGUUUUCCUGGUCUUACUGGAUGUCACUCUCGUCCUUGCCGACCUAAUUUUCACUGACAGCAAACUUUAUAUUCCUUCGGAGUAUCGUUCUAUUUCUCUAGCUAUUGCCUUAUUUUUUCUCAUGGAUGUUCUUCUUCGAGUAUUUGUAGAAGGUUUUUGAUCUAGGCCCUGAUUCCCAGACAGCACCUUUGGAUCCACCUGGAGGCUAGGAGAACUUGCCAUCCUGAAGGGAAGGACACAGGCCUGGCUGUUUUUACCAUCUGAUGACUGUAGAGCCCCAGGGCCUUCAGCAAACUCCUGCAAUAGCUAACAAGUGGUUACAGCAGGUCUUGGGCAAGACCCCGUGCUGUGCUGGCCUCAGGUCUGACCCAAUGCAGUCACAGUAGUGGUGGCCACACAGGUGCUUAUGUCACUCAACCCCAAGCUUUAGGUGCCUCAGAACAGAGAGAGAGACUCUGUUUGUUUGGGAGAAAGCAAGGGAAGAAAACAAGAGUCUCUUUUUGGUAAUGCAGAGAAUUAUCCUGGAUCUUGUCCAAGACCAUUAAGGCCACUAUGAGUCUGCAAGAACCAGAGUUUAGGAGGCUUGGGGUGCCCCCUAAAGCAGAUAGAGAUUAGAUCACAGUAUCCAAGUUCUUUCAAAUAUCUGGAAAGCCUUCCCAAGAACGAUGGGCACAAACAAGCCCUGACAGGGAAAACUACAAUAAAUACAGUGAAAACUACAACCAAUACCUAACUCUUCAAUGCCCAGACACCAAAGAACAUAUGCUAGCAUCAACACUAUCCAAGAAAACAUGACCUCACCAAAUGAACUAAAUAAGACACCAGGGGCCAAUCCUGUAGAAACAGAGAUAUGUGACCUUUCAGACAAAUCAAAAUAGCUGUGUUGAGGAAACUCAAAGAAAUUCAAGAUACAACAGAGAAGGAAUUCAUAAUUCUAUUAGAUAAGUUUAACAAAGAGAUUGAAAUAAUUUAAAAGAAUCAAGCAGAAAUUCUGGAGCCAAAAAAUGUAAUUGGCAUGCCAAAGAAUGCAUUAGAGUCUUUUAAUGCAGAAUUGAUAAACCAGAAGAAAGAAAGAAUGAGCUUGAAGACAGGCUAUUUCAAAAUACAUAGAGGAGACAAAGGAAAGAAUAAAAAACAAUGACACAUGCCUACAGAAUCUAGAAAAUAGCCUCAAAAGGACAAAUCUAAGUGGUAUUGGCCUUAAAGAGGAGGUGGGGAGUGUAGAAAGUGUAUUCAAAGGGAUAGUAACAGAACGUCCCAAACCUACAGAAAGAUAUCAAUAUCCAAGUACAAGAAAGUUAUAAAACACCGAGCAGAUGUAACUCAAAGAAGACUACCUCAAGGAAUUUAAUAAUCACAGUCCCAAAGAUCAAGGAUAAAGAAAGGAUCUUAAAAGCAGCAAGAGAAAAGAAACCAAUAAUAUACAAUGGAGCUACAAUAUAUCUGGCAGGAGACUCUUUAGUAGAAACGUUUCAGGCCAGGAGAGAGUGGCAUGACAUAUUGAAAGUGCUGAAGGAAAAAAACAUUUACCCUAGAACAGUGUAUCCAGUGAAAAUAUCCUUCAAAGUGAAGGGGAAAUAAAGACUUUUCCAC